GCUGGAGUAGCUCAGUUAGAGCAUGUAGCUUUUAAAGCACAAGGUCGGAGGUUCAAGCCCUUCCUCUAGCA